rnacentral:rRNA from 1 species
AACGAACGCUGGCGGCAGGCUUAACACAUGCAAGUCGAGCGCCCCGCAAGGGGAGCGGCAGACGGGUGAGUAACGCGUGGGAAUCUACCGUGCCCUACGGAAUAGCUCCGGGAAACUGGAAUUAAUACCGUAUACGCCCUACGGGGGAAAGAUUUAUCGGGGUAUGAUGAGCCCGCGUUGGAUUAGCUAGUUGGUGGGGUAAAGGCCUACCAAGGCGACGAUCCAUAGCCGGUCUGAGAGGAUGAUCAGCCACAUUGGGAAUGAGACACGGCCCAAACUCCUACGGGAGGCAGCAGUGGGGAAUAUUGGACAAUGGGCGCAAGCCUGAUCCAGCCAUGCCGCGUGAGUGAUGAAGGUCUUAGGAUUGUAAAGCUCUUUCACCGGUGAAGAUAAUGACGGUAACCGGAGAAGAAGCCCCGGCUAACUUCGUGCCAGCAGCCGCGGUAA